UGGGGAAUCUUGCGCAAUGGGGGAAACCUUGACGCAGCAACGCCGCGUGGGUGAUGAAGGCCUUCGGGUCGUAAAGCCCUGUCAGGUGGGAAGAAACGUAUCGGUGUUAAUACCGCCGAUAUUUGACGGCACCACCGGAGGAAGCACCGGCUAACUCCGUGCCAGCAGCCGCGGUAAUACGGAGGGUGCAAGCGUUGUUCGGAAUUACUGGGCGUAAAGCGCGUGUAGGCGGUCGGGCAAGUUAGAUGUGAAAGCCUUCCGCUUAACGGAAGAAGUGCAUUUAAUACUACCCGGCUGGAGUACGGGAGAGGGGAGUGGAAUUCCCGGUGUAGAGGUGAAAUUCGUAGAUAUCGGGAGGAACACCAGUGGCGAAGGCGGCUCUCUGGUCCGAUACUGACGCUGAGACGCGAAAGCGUGGGGAGCGAACAGGAUUAGAUACCCUGGUAGUCCACGCCGUAAACGAUGGGCACUAGGUGUAGGAGGUAUUGACCCCUUCUGUGCCGAAGUUAACGCAUUAAGUGCCCCGCCUGGGGAGUACGACCGCAAGGUUA
rnacentral:rRNA from 1 species